rnacentral:rRNA from 1 species
CUCCUUUGACGUUAGCGGCGGACGGGUGAGUAACGCGUGGGUAACCUACCUAUAAGACUGGGAUAACUUAGGGAAACCGGAGCUAAUACCGGAUAAUAUUUCGAACCGCAUGGUUCGAUAGUGAAAGGUGGUUUUGCUAUCACUUAUAGAUGGACCCGCGCCGUAUUAGCUAGUUGGUAAGGUAACGGCUUACCAAGGCGACGAUACGUAGCCGACCUGAGAGGGUGAUCGGCCACACUGGAACUGAGACACGGUCCAGACUCCUACGGGAGGCAGCAGGC